UUUUGGACAACAUUUGAAGGCUUUUCCAAAUUGCGUCAUUAAAACCAGGAAUGAUAGCCGUCCAAUGAAAACGCUUCUUGCAUUUCAGACAAAGGCGAGUGUGCGGUCAAGGUCAAAAUUGCGAGAGGGUGAUUCGAAGUGAAAUACCGCAACAAAAACGUUCGAUUUGGACAUUAACGGGUCUAACUCAAUGAGUCACAAUGUUUCUACCUCAAGAGUUGUAAAUAUUGAACAGAUAGGACUUCAUCUUAAAGAUGAAAACUGCAAAAAAUGGCCACCAACAAUAAUGGGCCAGGACUGAGGAGUUCCAAGAAAUUAGUAUUCUUCAGCCCACAAAUAUCAGUGCUGCCCCGCUGCCCACAACCAGAGUGUGGCAACAAGUAAAUGGACCUUGACAAAUGUCCUCUAUGUUAGAGCCAGUCCCUUACACAAGUGGCCUACAAUUGCACAGCUGAGAUUGUUAUCAAACGCAGCAGUAGGUAUGAAAUGCGGAAACUGUUCCAACUUGAUCUUCAACAGUUGAGUUACUCCUCAUCACAAUACCUGAACAGAAAACGAUCGGUGACGAUCCUGCACUUCACUUCUACCUCACAGUGCUCUUCCCUAUAAACGCUAGAGGAAAGUUUGAAAAUGAAAAACUUGUCAUUGCAAGUGUGAAAGGACCAAUUGAUUCUUAACAAAACAACCUGCCUCAAUGCUUUAGCUGACACUACAUCAAGUCAACACAAGGCAAUUUGUUUUUCUCGCAACCUGAGCGGUAUGUUGAAUCUGAUCAAAAUUGUACACAACCACUGGUCAAGAAUAUAAAAAUACAAGUUGUAUUAUCAGUUACAUAAAAUAUUCUUGAAUAUUUGAACAUAAUAAAAGAGUAUUUGUUAAAGUUAUACAUAUUGUGUGUAGUGUAGGUAAGAUCAAUGUCAAGGUUAUUUUGGCUAAAAAAAGGAAAAUGAGGCUUGAUUCAUCGAUGAAAUAGCAAGCAUUAAGUA